GGGGUAUGGUUCUUCGGAACCGAGACCGGCGCACGGGUGCGUAACGCGUAUGCAAUCUACCUUUUACAGAGGGAUAGCCCAGAGAAAUUUGGAUUAAUACCUCAUAGUAUAGCGACUUCGCAUGAUGACGCUAUUAAAGUCACAACGGUAAAAGAUGAGCAUGCGUCCCAUUAGCUAGUUGGUAAGGUAACGGCUUACCAAGGCUACGAUGGGUAGGGGUCCUGAGAGGGAGAUCCCCCACACUGGUACUGAGACACGGACCAGACUCCUACGGGAGGCAGCAGUGAGGAAUAUUGGACAAUGGGCGCAAGCCUGAUCCAGCCAUGCCGCGUGCAGGAUGACGGUCCUAUGGAUUGUAAACUGCUUUUAUACGAGAAGAAACACUCCAACGUGUUGGAGCUUGACGGUAUCGUAAGAAUAAGGAUCGGCUAACUCCGUGCCAGCAGCCGCGGUAAUACGGAGGAUCCAAGCGUUAUCCGGAAUCAUU
rnacentral:rRNA from 1 species